CAAGGCUAAAUACUCCCUAGUGACCGAUAGUGAACCAGUACCGUGAGGGAAAGGUGAAAAGCACCCCGGGAGGGGAGUGAAAGAGAACCUGAAACCGUGUGCCUACAAGUAGUCAGAGCCCGUUUAUGGGUGAUGGCGUGCCUUUUGUAGAAUGAACCGGCGAGUUACGAUCUCGUGCGAGGUUAAGUCGAAAAGACGGAGCCGCAGCGAAAGCGAGUCUGAAUAGGGCGUAUAGUACGAGGUCGUAGACCCGAAACCAGGUGAUCUACCCAUGUCCAGGGUGAAGGUAGGGUAAUAUCUACUGGAGGCCCG
rnacentral:rRNA from 11 species